AUUGAACGCUGGCGGCAGGCCUAACACAUGCAAGUCGAGCGGAUGAGAGGAGCUUGCUUCUCGAGUCAGCGGCGGACGGGUGAGUAAUGCCUAGGAAUCUGCCUGGUAGUGGGGGACAACGUUUCGAAAGGAACGCUAAUACCGCAUACGUCCUACGGGAGAAAGCAGGGGACAUUCGGGCCGUGCGCUAUCAGAUGGGCCUAGGUCGGAUUAGCUAGUUGGUGAGGUAAUGGCUCACCAAGGCGACGAUCCGUAACUUGUCUGAGAGGAGGAGCAGUUACACUGGAGCGGAGACACGGUACAGACUCCUACAGGAGGCAGCAGUUGGGAAUAUUGGACAAGGGGCCAAAGCCUGAUCCAGCCAUGCCGCGUAUGUGAAGAAGGUCUUCUGAUUGUAAAGCACUUUAAGUUGGGAGGAAGGGUUAUAGAUUAAUACUCUGCAAUUUUGACGUUACCGACAGAAUAAGCACCGGCUAACUCUGUGCCAGCAGCCGCCGUAAUAC
rnacentral:rRNA from 1 species